rnacentral:ncRNA from 1 species
UAAAUAACGGUGAAAAGGAGUAGUAGUGAACAAAACGGACUGCAGAGAGUUGACGGCUGGUGCGAGUCAACCGAAGUUUGUUCACGAACUCGCCUUGGAGUUGCGGACAUGAGCGGCUGUGUGGUUGCCUCGUAGUGUUCGCCGUGAAUCUGCGUUAACGAUGAGAGUGAGCAUGCGCGCCGCAUGCUAAUAAGGGUGGUACCGCGGGAAUUUUCGCCUCUCGUCCCUUUU